AGAGUUUGAUCCUGGCUCAGAUUGAACGCUGGCGGCAGGCCUAACACAUGCAAGUCGAGCGGUAACACAGAGAGCUUGCUCUCGGGUGACGAGCGGCGGACGGGUGAGUAAUGUCUGGGAAACUGCCUGAUGGAGGGGGAUAACUACUGGAAACGGUAGCUAAUACCGCAUAACGUCGCAAGACCAAAGAGGGGGACCUUCGGGCCUCUUGCCAUCAGAUGUGCCCAGAUGGGAUUAGCUAGUAGGUGGGGUAACGGCUCACCUAGGCGACGAUCCCUAGCUGGUCUGAGAGGAUGACCAGCCACACUGGAACUGAGACACGGUCCAGACUCCUACGGGAGGCAGCAGUGGGGAAUAUUGCACAAUGGGCGCAAGCCUGAUGCAGCCAUGCCGCGUGUAUGAAGAAGGCCUUCGGGUUGUAAAGUACUUUCAGCGAGGAGGAAGGUGCUGAGGUUAAUAACCUCAGCAAUUGACGUUACUCGCAGAAGAAGCACCGGCUAACUCCGUGCCAGCGGCCGCGGUAAUACGGAGGGUGCAAGCGUUAAUCGGAAUUACUGGGCGUAAAGCGCACGCAGGCGGUCUGUCAAGUCGGAUGUGAAAUCCCCGGGCUCAACCUGGGAACUGCAUUCGAAACUGGCAGGCUAGAGUCUUGUAGAGGGGGGUAGAAUUCCAGGUGUAGCGGUGAAAUGCGUAGAGAUCUGGAGGAAUACCGGUGGCGAAGGCGGCCCCCUGGACAAAGACUGACGCUCAGGUGCGAAAGCGUGGGGAGCAAACAGGAUUAGAUACCCUGGUAGUCCACGCCGUAAACGAUGUCGACUUGGAGGUUGUGCCCUUGAGGCGUGGCUUCCGGAGCUAACGCGUUAAGUCGACCGCCUGGGGAGUACGGCCGCAAGGUUAAAACUCAAAUGAAUUGACGGGGGCCCGCACAAGCGGUGGAGCAUGUGGUUUAAUUCGAUGCAACGCGAAGAACCUUACCUACUCUUGACAUCCAGAGAACUUAGCAGAGAUGCUUUGGUGCCUUCGGGAACUCUGAGACAGGUGCUGCAUGGCUGUCGUCAGCUCGUGUUGUGAAAUGUUGGGUUAAGUCCCGCAACGAGCGCAACCCUUAUCCUUUGUUGCCAGCGAUUCGGUCGGGAACUCAAAGGAGACUGCCAGUGAUAAACUGGAGGAAGGUGGGGAUGACGUCAAGUCAUCAUGGCCCUUACGAGUAGGGCUACACACGUGCUACAAUGGCGCAUACAAAGAGAAGCGACCUCGCGAGAGCAAGCGGACCUCAUAAAGUGCGUCGUAGUCCGGAUUGGAGUCUGCAACUCGACUCCAUGAAGUCGGAAUCGCUAGUAAUCGUAGAUCAGAAUGCUACGGUGAAUACGUUCCCGGGCCUUGUACACACCGCCCGUCACACCAUGGGAGUGGGUUGCAAAAGAAGUAGGUAGCUUAACCUUCGGGAGGGCGCUUACCACUUUGUGAUUCAUGACUGGGGUGAAGUCGUAACAAGGUAGCC
rnacentral:rRNA from 1 species